UACGUAGGUGACCAGCGUUGUCCGGAUUUACUGGGCGUAAAGAGCGCGCAGGCGGUCGUUCAAGUCGAGUGUGAAAAGCCCCCCGGCUCAACUGGGGGAGGGUCAUUCGAUACUGAUCGACUUGAAGGCAGGAGAGGGAAGCGGAAUUCCCGGUGUAGUGGUGAAAUGCGUAGAUAUCGGGAGGGAACACCACGUGGGUCGGCAAG
rnacentral:rRNA from 1 species